CACUACGGCCAUGCCACCCUGAAUAUGCCUGAUCUCAUCUGAUCUCGGAAACUAAGCAGGGUCAGGCCUGGUUAGUACUUAGGUGGGAGACCACCUAGGAAGACCAGGUGCUGUAGGCG
rnacentral:rRNA from 1 species